rnacentral:rRNA from 1 species
UGAGGAAUAUUGGUCAAUGGGCGCGAGCCUGAACCAGCCAAGUCGCGUGAGGGAUGACGGCCCUACGGGUUGUAAACCUCUUUUGUCGGGGAGCAAAUUCCGUUACGUGUAACGGAGUCGAGAGUACCCGAAGAAAAGCAUCGGCUAACUCCGUGCCAGCAGCCGUGGUAAUAGAUCUGU